UCAACUUGAGAGUUUGAUCCUGGCUCAGAACGAACGCUGGCGGCAGGCCUAACACAUGCAAGUCGAGCGCACCUUCGGGUGAGCGGCGGACGGGUUAGUAACGCGUGGGAACAUACCCUUUUCUACGGAAUAGCCUCGGGAAACUGAGAGUAAUACCGUAUAAGCCCUUCGGGGGAAAGAUUUAUCGGGAAAGGAUUGGCCCGCGUUAGAUUAGAUAGUUGGUGGGGUAAUGGCCUACCAAGUCUACGAUCUAUAGCUGGUUUUAGAGGAUGAUCAGCAACACUGGGACUGAGACACGGCCCAGACUCCUACGGGAGGCAGCAGUGGGGAAUCUUAGACAAUGGGCGCAA
rnacentral:rRNA from 1 species